rnacentral:rRNA from 2 species
UGUUCCCAUUCCGAACACAGAAGUUAAGCUCUCUAGCGCUGAUGGUACUUGGUGGGAAACUGCCUGGGAGAGUAGGACGUAGCCACGU